UUUGACAUAAGAUUCGUGUGAUACCCAGGGGUCACAAUUGAGGAAGGUUGCUAGUGUUGGAGACUGGAUAUUGGAUUCCAAACUGCUGGUUCGUAAAUUUUUCCCUUCUUUGGUACCUCAAUUAAAUUAUUUGAAAACUAAAAAACAUCCUUGUCCCACAUUAAAACUCCGCUUCUUAGACAAGCUAAAACGAAAAUAAAGAAGAAAAAUAAUUAAUGGAUCUAAUCGUAGGAUAUUGCUCAUCAAUUUUCAACCUCCCGGUUAACUACCGAAGGACCUUGGCCAGGAGUAUGAGAGUCCUCUUGGGAACUUGCUGAGUGAAGUUAAUGAUAUUGAAAUUGGUGAAAGUCCUAGCAAUUUUGAUGUGUAACCCAGUGGCUAAGACGUCAAUCUUGGUGAUUGAAAAGACACUCUUUUCUCGGCUAGCCAGCGAGGAGUUUUGGUAGUUUAUUUUGUUGUCAUUUCUUAUUUGUUCGGUUUAUUUCAGGAUUGUAAUUUGGAUAUUGUCUCCUGGCUCAAACUCUUCUUCUUCUUCUCAUUUUGUCUAGUUUGUUUAGUUUGUAGUAAUUCGUCUAGUGUUAUUUAGGGUUGUUCCAGUGUUGUAACACAUGUCUAUUUUGUUUGUCAUGUUCAAACCCUUUUUAUCAUCUGUCUAUUGCAUCUCCUAUUUUCUGUUAAUUCUAGUCAAUUUUGUUUAGGUCAUUUUUCUUUUUAUAGUUCUUUUCAUGCUAAUUCUAGUGACAUGACAUGCACGGAUAAUUUUCAGCUUAAUCUUGAAAGUUAGUCUUAUCAUGAAGAAAUGGCAUGUUUUUUUAUAUGAUAAAAG
rnacentral:lncRNA from 1 species